ACCCGCAGCCCCAGGACCUGGGGUCGGCGUGGGCCCGGGAAGCCCCCGGGCGGCGAUUACCCCGGGCCGAGCACAGCGGCUGUCCCGCCAAAUCUCUGCCACUCGGGCCCCUGAAUCCGCGGGUACUCGGCUGGGCAGGCUGGGACGCAUGGGCGGCCGGAGGCCGGUGUUUUUCCGUUGAAACCAUAGGCGCUCAAGGUUUAUUGAAAGCCUGUGUGCCUGGCGCGAUGCUCGGUGCCGGAGGAUGAAGUGCUUUCACCUGGACAGGGGCGGAAAACGAGUUUGUCCUGCUCAUCAGUGGACAUAGGAAAAUUCUAGACCCCUGGUCUAGCAUGAGACACAUUUGAGGACAAAUAAUAAAGGGGGAAAAAAAAAUCCCAGAAAGAUGAAGGAAAUGAGAACAGUAGUGUUCAACCCACAAGCCUGUUUGCCUUUGGAGGACCGAGGACCGCGACGACGAUGCUGCCUCCUACUGGCGGAGCUGGGCAAUGAGGCCAAGUGGAGUUUAAUACCCGUCCGCUGUGGGUAUUCUGAACCGAAAUUGGCGCCGGCUGCUCAGGUUACUGCAAAAAUGAGUAUUUUAAGCUAUUUAACAAUUUCUAUU